rnacentral:rRNA from 1 species
UACGUAGGGUGCGAGCGUUGUCCGGAAUUAUUGGGCGUAAAGAGCUUGUAGGUGGUUUGUCGCGUCUGCUGUGAAAAUCCGAGGCUCAACCUCGGACUUGCAGUGGGUACGGGCAGACUAGAGUUCGGCAGGGGAGACUGGAAUUCCUGGUGUAGCGGUGAAAUGCGCAGAUAUCAGGAGGAACACCGGUGGCGAAGGCGGGUCUCUGGGCAAUAACUGACGCUGAGGAGCGAAAGCGUGGGGAGCGAACAGG